UUUUGUCAGCUUUUACAAUGCAAUAAAAGAUUUUGAUAAUAAGCGAGCAACAGGUUUAUCUGCGCAUUAUUUCAUGUUGCUGAAAUUCUGGGAAGAUGUAACGGUGCAAAAUGUUGCAAAAAUAUUCACGAUGUUUACCACGACUGUAUGGCAGCUUUUCGCAGCAUAAAAAAAUAGUUUGCAAAAUUCAGACGUGGUGAUUUCAAACUGCAAGACCAGUCACACUCUGACCGACUUUCUCUGGUAGACGAUGACAUUGUGCUCAAUUUACUGCAAAGUAAUCCCCGAAUUUCGACUGCAGGACGCUUCUAAAAAAAUAACGCUUGUGGAGGCAUUACUUUCCUCGCUCAAAUCGGAUGACAUUUCCCCCAAACCGACGCCUUCCUAAUAGGUGUUAUGAGAGAAGAUGGGUAACCUCGAAGCGGCAGCAAGGGGACGCAGCCCGGAUUCUCAUCGACUUCGCGAGGGCUCAGAUCGGGUUACGAUGCGUCGAUUGGGAUACAACUCAUAUCGGUAAUCGGUAAGUGUUACGCCACGAGGCUUAACACAGGCUGUAUUUUCUAACCGUCACUCGCGGCCCUACAAUGUCUCAGUCAGAUCGUCUUAUCUGACCGCCGGAUCAUAUACAAUGUAUCGACGAGCCCAUAGCUGUCGCCAAGCAGCGAGUUCUCGAAACGUCGAAUUUGGUCCGUUACGUUUUUCACGCAAGAACAGACAUACGUGAUCAUAGGCGCGAACGGUGGCGUGACCUAAGUACAGUGGGGGUCGUCUUAAAGAUGAGACAAAGAAAUCAUCAAAAGUCGAUCAGUUCCUUGUGACGCGUCGAACAUAACACAUUGAGCCAAACAUUCGCUUAUUCUAUUAAGUAUCAUAUCGUGCUACGUCCACCAAGAGACUAAGCUCAAUUGUAAGAGCCUUGCUCUAUAUUGUAUACAUCUAUAUUAUCUGCGUGCGAUAAGGUUGUUAAUUGUUGAUAUCUUUUCAAUCGUGUAGACUAAGUGUUGGAAAUAUACAUUAUUAUAAUUCUGUGA
rnacentral:lncRNA from 1 species